UACGAAGGGGGCUAGCGUUGUCCGGAAUCACUGGGCGUAAAGGGCGCGUAGGCGGCCGGAGAAGUCGGUGGUGAAAGCUCGGGGCUCAACUCCGAGUCGGCCACCGAUACUGUUCGGCUCGAGUUUGGUAGAGGCAGAUGGAAUUCCGGGUGUAGCGGUGGAAUGCGUAGAGAUCCGGAGGAACACCAGCGGCGAAGGCGGCAUCCUGGACUGGUCCUGACACUCAUGAGCGAAAGCGUGGGGAGCGAUCCGG
rnacentral:rRNA from 1 species